AAUAGAUACCCUGGUAGUCCACGCUGUAAACGUUGGGCGCUAGGUGUGGGGGGCCUCUCCGGUUCCCUGUGCCGCAGCUAACGCAUUAAGCGCCCCGCCUGGGGAGUACGGCCGCAAGGCUAAAACUCAAAGGAAUUGACGGGGGGCCCGCACAAGCGGCGGAGCAUGCGGAUUAAUUCGAUGCAACGCGAAGAACCUUACCUGGGGUUUGACAUGGCCGCAAAACUGUCAGAGAUGGCAGGUCCUUCGGGGCGGGUCACAGGUGGUGCAUGGCUGUCGUCAGCUCGUGUCGUGAGAUGUUGGGUUAAGUCCCGCAACGAGCGCAACCUCGUUCGAUGUUGCCAGCGCGUUAUGGCGGGGACUCAUCGAAGACUGCCGGGGUCGAACUCGGAGGAAGGUGGGGAUGACGUCAAGUCAUCAUGCCCCUUAUGUCCAGGGCUUCACGCAUGCUACAAUGGCCGGUACAAUGGGCUGCGAUACCGUGAGGUGGAGCGAACCCCAAAAACGCCGGUCUACGNGUUCGGGAUCGGGGGUCUGCUAACCCG
rnacentral:rRNA from 1 species